UAUGAAAUUAUGAAGACUUUUUAUUCUAAAUUUGUAGCUACUGUUUGUGAUUUGUUUUGUUUGUUUAUUUUACAGAUUGUUAUUUCUCUAUUUUUGGGUAAACAUUUCAAUAGCUUUUGAUGAUUAUGGUUUUGUGAUCAUGUGAUUGAAUGUAUUGUGUGAACAAGGAAACUAGAAAGAAAAAAGAAAUACUUGCUUCGACACCUGCGGCAAGGACUUCAACAGCAGGCAUGCAUUUGUGGUGGCUGUGAGAUAAUAAACAGUACAGUAAUGGCGGAUGGAUGGGAAAGAGAAAGCCAAAAAGGGGUUUGGAUUGUUGUUAGUUGGGCACAAGCUUUGGGCAGUUUACAUAGAGGCAAUUGCAAUGGUGGAAGAGUAUUAGCAUUCAGCAAGCUCUUUCUGUAGAUGGUGGCGUUCGAGAUGUUAAGGCUCAUUACCCUCAGCUCAGUUUGAAAAACCUUCCUCAGGUGAACGGCAUGAGCCUUUGAUGUAUAAUGUUGUUAGGAACCAGAUUGAGACGGAGUUCCCGGUGGUGGGACUGGAUUGAUGAGUCAAGAGACAGAGGCCUGUGAUUCCAAAG